UUUUUUUACCUGGUGAUCAAACGGAGAAAGUCGAAUGAUGAACUGGAUGAAGCGGUGCGGGCAAGGGUAUCGCUAUUCUCUUCUUUUUCUUGUAUGUAGAUAUGGGUAUCGUAAAGGUGGCAUUGCUAUUAUCUCCUCUCUGUAUCGACCGUAUUGCUAUUAUCUCUAUCCGUAUCGCUAUUCUCUCCGUGUCAUCUCUUUUUUUCUAUUUAUAGCAGAAUGAGAAAAUCUGAGGAAUUGUGUGAGUGGGUUUAGAUAUUUCUUUUUACAGUGGGGCGAUUCGUGGGGUUGGGCGAGAGAUAUUUUGGAGAGUCGGUUAAGAAUUCAAAAUUCGAAAUCAAAUUUUGAAUUAGGCGGUUGAGGGGAGAAAUAUUUUCUAGCUGAUUGGAAAUUCAAAAAUUCGAAACUUGAAUUUUGGGAUGUGGAUGUGAUUGGUUAAGAAAAAGAUAUUUUAGGAGUUGGUUAGGGAUUUAAAAUUCAAAAUCAAAUUUUAAAUAGGAAAGGAUAUAUAUGAAGUUGCUAGGAGGAAAGAAAUUUUCUAAUUGGUUGGAAAUUUAAAAAUUCAAAAUUGAAUAUAAUAUUUUUAAAAUUCAAAUUUGAAUUUUCUGAUGUGGAUAUAGCUGUCAUCUAAUAGGUUAGGUUGAAUUUAAAUCCAUUGGGUUCAUUUUGAUGAAACCUGUUGGGCACAAAUAAUAAUAUUCGUCUGACUGAAAUAAAGCCUGAAUUAUUGGAUAGACUAAAAAAAUUUCAUGGGUUUUUAUUAGUCCCUGUAAUACAUUAGAUUUUUAUUAUAAAAAUAAGUGCAAAUAAAAAUAGUAUGAAAUACUAUUUUUAUUGGACCUUGAAAAAAUAAAAAAUAAUUUGAAAAUGCUUUGUUGUAAAAUCGAAAUGAAAAUAGUAGAUUUGAAAUUUUCUACAAGGACCGGGGCUUGUAUUUUAAUCGAAAUUUACAGUAACAAAAAAUUAUGAAACUUUGGAAAGUUGUCUGUACUAACUUUCUGAUAUUAGAUUUUAAGUUUCGUAUGGUUCGGAUACCUGAGUAGUGAAAACGGAACUUAAUAGCAUUCUGUUAGAGAUUUUUGUCGACGGAGCUUUCGGUGAUUGAAAAUGGUCUGAAGCUGAAAUGUUAUGGUAAUUACUUUAACUUAACUUUCAUUGAGACAGCCCACCAAAUUUGAUUAUAAACUGACAUUCAGAAGGACUCCAAUUGAGCAUAUCAGCUCGAGAUUGGAUUAAAUUGAGAGUAUUGGUGAUUUGUGGACUUAUUCAUAUUGUGAUAACUUAGGGCAUGUUUGUUUGGACGGAAGUGGGGUGAAAGUGGAGAGGAGGAAAGCCGUUUUCACUCUAAACGCUACUUUUGUUGUUUGAUUCGUCGUAAAAUAGUUACGGUCGAAACUCUAAGUUAACGGCGUAAUUGGCUUCGGCCAAUGAGUGAAAACUCCCUUGCUCCCAAUCUGUACGCAAGAGAGAGAGAGAGAGAGAGAGAGAGGAAAGAAAAGAAAAGGAGAAGAGGAGAAAGAGAAGAAGAAAAAGAUGGGUUUGGAGAUUUUGGGUUUUUCGACCAGCCGAUCGGAGCCCCGCGCGCGUAAAAUUUAUUUGACAUUUCGACGGCAAGGUUAGUACUAAAUUACUAUUAUCUCCUUCUCUCGUUUCGACUAUUUUGUCGACGUUUUGGUGACCGAUUUAACGAAGGAGUUUUGUUGGAAGAAAAUUAGGUUUGGUAAUCGAGUUUACUAUGCGACUUUUGGAGCCGAACUCGCAUGCUUUUCGCCGCAGGAUUUAUGAAGUGCUGGCGUGUGCAUGCUCGCUGCCGUGUGGUCGGGAAAAAAUUGCUGGUGCAGUCAGCAGGAAAAGCGGCAGCAGGGGCUGCCAGCAGCAGCAGCAGCAGCAGCAGCAGAGGUUGCUGCUGCGGCUGCUGCUACAAACAGUAGCAGCGGCAAGUGCAGCGGCGAGCGCAGUAGUGGUUUGUGCGGAAAUAGCUCAUGACGUUGAUUCGUGGCCGCGGCACCACCGUGCUUUUGGAGACUCCGAUCGAGUCCAAUCUUGCCUCAAUUUCGAAAUUGAAAUUGAUCUGAGGGUGAGGAUGGCAGUGAGCUUCAGAUUGCACCUUACUCCAAUCGGAAUUAAAGUGACUUGGAAUGAGAUUGAGUUAAUGUUUCGAAACGAACCGAAAUUCAGGUUUUGUUGGAUAUUUUCUAACUUCUCCAUCCAUUUCUCGUCUUUGGGUUGUAGACAUCAAAUUGAAUUCGUGUUAAUAUUCCAGCAAGGAAGAGGAACCUAUGGAAUUGUCCCUACAACUAACAUUUCAGGUUAGUAAGUUGAACCGGACGACGAUUUUGAAAUUUAAUUGGAAUUGAACUGAUUUUGAGCGAUUGUGAGAAUUGCGUUGAUUUCGUCGUCCAUUUCUUCCAGCCAAAUACUACUUUUGGUCAUUUUGGAGUCACUCUUACCGGAUUUUGAGGUAACUUAAAUUAUCCUUAAUGAAAAUUCAGCAUUCAUGAACCGAAUUGCCGAAUUAAUGGAAUUCAGUUCUUGCAAUUGCCUUGACAGCAAUCUUACUGAUUUUGGAGUUUUCGUAGUGGAUUCCCUGCUAGAUUGAGCUGAGAAAAGGCGCAUUGGAGGUUGAGUGCUCGCUGCUACUGGAUUAGCAAUCCGAGGUGGGUUCCGAGUCGUCGAAAAUGACGAAUUUCCUUCUAUGUCUAUUUGCAUGCAUAUGCAUAUGUAUUUUGGUCACAUGGAUUGAUAAGGACUAUGUUAGCAUGGGAAUUGAUUAGAACGUAUCUAGUACGUAUCUGUGUGAGUGAUAAUUUAUGCAUGACACUCAGGCGAGUAGCCAUGACGUAUGUACAUAUAUGUGGUUAUAUACAUUGAUAGAAACGAUAUUCGCAUGAAAUGGAGUAGAGGGUAAGGAUUUCAAUUUAUUCUCAAAUAGAUCCUAAUUUAGGCCGUGCUGUCACUAUCUCAUAUUAGAUAUUCUAGCUUAGGUCGUGGGAGGCCAGUUGACAUCAUAUGCAUCAUGGUGAGUCAUUUACUAUUCAUUUAUAUUGUACAUAUCACAACUUAUGUGAUAGAAGUCAUUGAUAGUUCGGCGGUAGUGUGCAGAUGUUUGGAAAUAGAGAGGGAAUAUGAAUAUUCUAUUAUGAAAUCUAACUGAAAGAUUACUUUAUGAUUGUACUGAGGAUAUUGGAUUGGGUACUUGUGAGCUCUUUGAUCAUCACAUGGACCACAGCCUGCAGGACCAUAUUGAGAUUGACAGUGUUACAUACUAUGAGACUCGGUAGCGGUCGCUCCUCUUCGAGUGCCGCUCCGGAUGCUGGCCAGUUGUAGCAGAGAUAUAUGUGCCCUUGGGAAGAGGAUGGGCAGAGCCUAGGUGUCGACGGUGCACCUACGGGAGUGCGUUUCGGCACUAAGCGGGCGCAGGCUUGACCGGACGUAUGAGUCGGUCGUUGUGAUUGGAUACUAUUACAUCAUUUGUUUAGUAGUAGUUACAUUGAUGCAUACACUACUCAGUUUCUUUCAUUUCCUCUCACUACAUAUACAAGGAUAUGGUAGUGCAUUAGCUAUAGAGAUCUGUUCAUAUUACAUGCAGUUAUUCUAUUAUUGUUACUUACAUUUCUCUAUGCAGGUCCUAGCCAGUUAGUUCUUACUGUACCCUACGUUCAUCUAUUCAGAUCAGAGCAAGUUAUCUUUACUGUUACUUACAGUCACUCGUUUACUUGUUCAGAUCAUUUACCUAUAUACAUUAGUGCCAGUUACAUUUAGCUACUCAUAUACUGUAUAUUGUACUGGUCUUUCACGAAUCUGGCCUCCAGUAGAUCUAAUGGAAAGAUCGUGGUUAUCGUCGACCGUACCCACGGGGAACUAUUGGUUCAGUAGUUCUCAUACCCUUUUGUGGUUUACUUUUCAAGACUCUGAAUACCGAUAGCUAAUCGAGGUGAGAGGGAUCGUGCGGUAGAUAGCGUCUCCCACCAGCUUACCUAGACAUUAGAGGACUCCUAGUUAGAAGGUCACUCUGUACUACACACCUGUACUGGCGAGGGCCAGAGCCUUUUUCUUGUACUUUUAUUUUGGGGGUUGAGUUUAUUUGAUGUAGUACAUGAUGUAUGGCAGUUUAGUUUGGAGAUAGUGUUAUGAUACAUAUUGUUUGUUUAUUUCAUACUUUAUUUUUGAUUUUUGUGAUGUGGAAACAUUUCCGUUCGACCUCUUGAAUUACCUUUUCCUGUUCUAUUAUGUUGACGCUUCGUUCGGAUAGAGAAAACUCUAUCCGUUCGACUGGUCUGUUGACGUCUCCGUGGGCUUCCGCUGUAGACUCGGGGCGUAACAUAAACGGACAAAAAAUUACAAAAAUAGUUUUUAUGAAAGUUUUUUUUUUGAAUUUUUUUUUUUCACUCUUUUUUGAGGAACCAAGCAGCCCCUUAUAUUGCACUGAAAACGUGGGCUAGACUAAAUUAAGUCGAUGUAAAGUUAACUAUGUCGGAUCGUUGGUGUUAACCACUAAUUCCAAAAGCUCGAGCUAUUAGAAAUACGCAAUCAUUUACUUAAAGCGUACAGAUACAGUGCCAACGAGUCUCGAUUGUGACUCAGCCCACCUAGUCUCACACCACUUUGAAUAUGACUCGGUUCAACCUAGUCUCACGUCAUUUCGAACAUGAUUUGGUCCGCAUGGCCUCCCGCCACAGGGCAGGAUGCUGGCCCAUUUAAGCCAACAAAUUAAACUCCAAUUGACGCAAUUUGGACUUAGGUGCUGCUCCUACACUUUAUUUUUUGGGUUAUUUUUUUUGCGGAUCCUUUCACUCUAUGUCUAAGUUACAUAGAUAUUUUUUUAAAAAUAAUCUUAAUUAAUUUUUUUAAAAAAUUUAUAUAAUUAUCCAGUUACUUUUUAUUAAUUAACUUUGUUUAAAAUUUGGUCGUUUGUCUAUUUCUUCCAUUAAGAGCUGUAAAAUUUAGAGUUUAGGAUUGUAGGGUUUAGGGUUUUAGAGUUUUUAGGGUUAUUAGGAUUUUAGGGGUUUUUCGGGUUUUAGGAUUUUAGAUUUUUAAAAUUUUUCAGGAUUUUAGGGUUUAGAAUUUAGGAGCUCGGACAUGUGAGUCUAAUCAGCGAUUACCUGCAAAAAAAUUUCAUUAGUCUUUUAGGGUAACCAAAAAUGUUAACUAUAAUAAGCUAAAAAGGGUCAAAUUAGUUAUUUUAUAUUUUAACUUAAGUAAAAUUUCAUGUUAACUAGACGUUUUAAUACUAAUGAUAUUGACAAUUUUGAAAGAGUAUUUAUGAUAUUUUUCAAAUUUUAAGCGGCAUGUUAAAAAUUGCCCCUUAUUUCUUUUUUUAAAGAAACAAUUGCUUAUGUACCACGGAAAACUUUCCGACUUUUCGAUUUACUCAUCGUAGAAAGUUAAUAUUAAAAAUAUCCUUUUUACGUUACAACCUAUUUCUAAUAUACCCAUAGAGUUAAAAUCUGUUAUCUCUAUAAAAUUAUUAUUUUGCCCUUUCAAAUAUACCCUUCCACCAUUACCGGCUUUCUUAUUUGCCCUUAAAGUCAGGGACAUAAAAAAUAUUUUGACUUUUGGUCUUUUUAAAUAUACCCCUCUACCGUCACCAAUAUUUCUUAUUUACUUUUAAGUUAAGGGCAAAAUUGACAUUUUAAUAUUUUUUAACUGUGGUAGAUAUUGAACUCACAUUUAACCCAAGUUAACUUAAGAGGAGAUAACUGUGGGGGUAUUUUGCAAUAACGGUGGAACAUAUGAUGGAUAUUUUAGAAAAAAAAAAAAGAUAAAUUUGAUAUUUUUGAACGUAUGAGGAGUAUAUAGACGAUUAUCUCUUUUUUAAAUGUGGUUCAUAUAUUGUUGUUUUAUAAUUCAGAUUUUACGCUCUUCCACUCGUGACCUAUAAUAGAUCAUUUGAUAGCGGCACAUGUACGAAAUACUCCAGAGAAAGAUAUUUUUAUUCAUCUUGUCAUAACAGAAUCGCCGUAUCUUCGACAACACUAGCUUUACUGCCCUCUCCACCGCUAGUUGUAUUCGAAAGCUAAUCGCCGAUGUCGACCUCUCACCUUUGUCUUGGUCUCAAAAAAGUAUUUUCGUCUGAGUCUUUAAAUAUAAUAAUAAUAAUAAUAAUUCAAAUUUCAACUCAUAUUCACAAAUAGAACCUCUAUUCUAUUUUAUUUUUUUUUCGAAUCAUAAAAUAUUAGAUCCGAAAAAUAGACGGGUUGAAUAAAUCGCAGAUGGAUUAUUACAUCCGCAAAUCAUAUGAAUAUGAAUAAAAUUUACCUGCAAGUUUUUUAAUAGCCUAUAUAUCUAUCCAUACCCGUCCAUGGGCGCAAGUUUUUUUUUUUUGCUUAUAUACUUUUUAAAUGCAAAAUACUUAUACAUAAUUUUUAAAAGAUCACAAUAUAAUUUGUUGUUUGAAAUAUCAGAACAUACAAUUAAUAAUAUAAAGUCUUAAAAUUCAUAAAUUACAUGUAAAAGUAUUUUACAUGUAGGAUGGGCCGCCAAAGGAUGGUGGCGCCGUGCGGCGGCAGAGACUGCGCGGUAGUAGAGCUGGCCACAGUAGGUUUAGAAUAUUUAGGAAUGGAUAAACAAAAUGAACAUAUAUUUUUUAAUUAAAAAACAUAUGCGAAUAAUUGUCUGCACCGGUGGCUGCCUAAAAUGCCCACAAUUUAACUGGCACGCACCCGUUUUAUUUAUAAUUUUUUCAGUAAGAAAAAUUAGUAUCCAUACCUAUAAAUUUUUGGAUAAUCCAUGGCUGCCUGCGGAUACAGAUAGAAAUUGCCAAAUCUACAAAAUAGAUACGACUCUUCGGUUGUAUUAAAAUUGUUGAUAAAUUUCAAGAAGAUCCGUUCACUUUAGCCUAGGAAUUAAGGUGUCUUUAAUUAUAUUGAUUUAAUUAAAAUAAAUAAUAAAAAUAGGAAGCUACGGAGCCAAAAUUUAAAAAUUGGGUAGAAGCUAGUAAAUUUCAAAGGUAAGAAACCAAAACUAACUUAGAUAAAUCAAACUAAUCAGAUCGAUCAAAUUGCUAAAUUGUACAAAAUGUUCAUGAAAAUAGGUGCUCAAACCAACAAACCAAACCAAAACCAAAAACAAACAAUAAUAAAGGACAGUUAUUAUUACUAGUGUUUAAAUCUCCGAUCCGAUGUGACUUCUCUAUUUUGCUGAUCCUGGCUUUGAUACCAAAUAUAACAACCCGGCCCGUUAGCAAUUAUAACUCGUUGGGCCCAACCACCGACCCAAAAUGCUUAAUCUCAAUUAUUAUUACUAGUGUGUAAGUCUCUUUGAACCCAAUGACAACUUCAUUUUCAUUCGAUAUGGGACUAUUGGGGUGUCACAAUUUCAUCCAGAUUAAUUCAAUUCAUUCUACUGAAACUAUAUAGUUCAAAUUUAUUUUGAGCUAGAUUUAAAUUAUAAAAUUAAAAUUUAUUGUAAUCAUAAAAUUUUAAUUGUAUUGUAUAGUAUAAAUUUGUUCCAUUAAGAUUUAUUUAAUUUAUCACUAAAACUCGACUGUCCUUACUUAUUUUAGUCUAUUAAAACUCUGUGGUCGAGAUUUAUUAUAGACUUAAAAUUUAAAUUGUACAGUCUAAAUUUAUUCCAAACUCAAGUUAAAUUGUAUUAAAUAAUUCAGAUUUAUGUGAUUUAUUCCGUUAAAACUCUAUAAUUCAUAUUUACUCUAAACAUAAAAAUUUAAGGAAAAGAUGUAUGGAGACCCCCUGAAAUUUUAUUCCAUUGCAUGGAGCCCCUUAAUUUUUUAUUUUUUUUAAAGUUAAGUAAUUUCAAUUAAAAAAUUAGAGAUUUAUCUAAUAAUUAAUGGUUAAUAUAUAAUAAAGUUAUUAAAUUUGAUAAAAUUUUUAAACUUAACUCAGGAUAAAACUCAAUUAAAAAAAUUGGAAUUUUCUCUAAAAAAAAAAAAAAAGAAGUUGAGGGGUUCUUUAUCCGAAAAAAAAAAGAAGAAUAUAUUUCAAAGUAAUCUAUAGUUGACUUCGUCUCUACAUACUUUAUGGUCAAAAUUUAUUUUAUCCUAAUUUAAAUAUAUUUGGCUAAUUUACAGAAAGCUUUCUUAUAAAUAACUGUUUUUUUUUUUUUUCUUCCGAACUUUUAAAAUUCUAUAUUUUACCCGCUCAACAUUUCAAAUUGUUGCAUUUAGCCCCUUUCCGUCAAGUUUCAUCACUAUUCGGUUCAUUUCUUAUAAUGUACACCGAAAAUAUCCUUCAAAAUAACAGAAAUAUAUUAAAAAAUUAUAUUUUCUUUAUACAUGAGUAAUAAAAAUUUGAUCAUUUCGCCCUUGCCAUUAAUGUUGUAUCAACCUGAAAAAAUUUUCGAAAUUUUAAGAAGGCAAAAGGCUAAAUUACAGAAAACCCUCCUGUCAAAAUCUGUUUUUUUACUUUCCCCCCUGUUAUUUAAAAACCUAUACUUUGCCCCCUUAUAAAAUAAAAAAUGUGCACUUCACCCCCUACCGUUAGUGAUCUGUUAGGGUUCCGUUGUAAAAUAUUUUUUUAUGCCAAAAAUACCCCUUCGUCUUCUUCCAUGUUGCUUCGACAUAUAUUGAGCAUGGGCAGCGCGCAGAUGGCCUCCAGGACGGCGCCCUCACUGGCCUCGCCCUCCUCCACGAGCUCGACCUCAGCAACAACCGCUUCGUCGGCGCCUUCCCAGGCGUCAUCCUCGACCUCCCCGCCCUCCGCUACCUCGACCUCCGCUUCAACGAGUUCGAGGGCCCCAUCCCCGCCGCCCUCUUCAACCGCCCCCUCGACGCCAUCUUCCUCAACUCCAACCGCCUCCGCCGCCCCAUCCCUGCCAACCUCGGCGACUCCUCGGCCUCCGUCGUCGUCCUCGCCCACAACCAACUCGGCGGCUGCAUCCCGCCCUCCAUUGGCUGCAUGGCCGACACCCUCAACGAGAUCGUCCUUCUCGACGACGGCCUCGCCGCCUGCGUCCCGCCCGAGGUUGACCUCCUCCGCCACCUCACCGUCUUCGACGUUAGCUUCAACCUCCUCCGGGGGCCCCUCCCGUCCUCCCUCUCCGGCGCCGCCGACCUCCAGCAGCUCGACGUCGCGCACAAACGCCUUACGGGCGCAGUCCCGGAGGCCGUCUGCGCGCUGCCCUCUUCCCUGUUGCUACGCCCUCUAUCGAGUUCGCGGAUGAGGAGGAUGAGUGAGAAGACGAAAAUGGCGAAGGGCAAAAUGGUCAUUUUGUCACAUUGUACCCCCCUCUGCACAUUUUUUAUUUUACAAGGGGACAAAGUGUAGGUUUUUAAAUAACAGGGGAGGAAAGUGAAAAAGCGGGUUUUGACAGAGAAAUUUUUUGUAAUUUAGCCAAGACAAAAUGUAGAUUUUUGAAAGUCAGGAAGAAAAAGUAAAAAAAAGAAAAAUAUUUGUAGGAAGAUUUUCUAUAAUUUAGCCUAUUUUAUUUACUCAAAAUUUAUUUGAUUUAUUCUACUAAACCUUUUAUGUUCCAGAUUAAUUCUAUUACAAUUUAUUUUUAUUACAGGUUUGCUCUAAUCCGAAAAGGAAAUAUUUCAAAUACCACCCAUGUGGUCUCGCAUUUUCUCACUUUAGUACAUUAUAGUUUAAAGUAUAUCACUUUUGUACUCUGUAGUUUUAUUUUUCUCUCUUUUUUAUUCUUUUCACUAAUUUUUUCGUUAAACCAGUGACAAAGGUAAAAGUAAAAGAUACUAAAAUGAAUAUUCGAUAAAUUAUAGGUGGGGUAUCUGAAGUUUUUGUAUAUGAUUUAGCGAUAAGUUAAUAGAGGGGCUGAUAAAAAAAGAAAAAUGAAACCACAAGGUACUGAAUUAAUACACUUUAAACCACAGGAUAGUAAAGUAAGAAAGUGUGAAAACACAGGGUGGUAUUUGAAGUUUACCCAUCAGAAAAUUUAAAUCAUCCUCUACGGUAUACAUAACUUAAAUUUUAAGUCGCAAUCUAUGAUCUCAUUAAUUUUAAAAAUCAAUUUUUACUAUUAAAGUUUGAUAUAAUUUAGCCCGUGCAAUUUUAAUUAUACUAAUUAUAGAAUUUAAAUUAUACCGUAUAUUGAUAUAUCAAAUCAAAUAUUGUCAUUUUGUUAUUGUCAUUACAAUUCGAAGUAAUUUGAUUAGUGCGUUGAAUAGACAAAAACAAAAUUAUAAAACUAUCUCAAACUCUAAAAUCAAUUUAUUUUGUAUUGUAUUCCUAGAUUUUUAAACCAAACUAAUUAUGUUAUUUAAAAUAAAUUUAGUGUAACACCAAGAUUUCUUGUUUGCCAACAUUUAACAUCUUCACAAAUCAAAUAUGCCAAAUUUAAAUUUAAAUUAUACUCUAACAUUUUUUAUUUGUUUCAAUUUAAGAUCUAUCAUUAAAAUACCUUUAAUUUUAAUAAAAAAAAAAGUAUUACAUAAACACCAACCAGUAUUUGCGGUGCUACGUCGACGUCAAACCUUACCACGCGGCGAUGUCUAUUAAAAUUUACAAAUUUUUAAUAAUAAAAAUUCAGCUAAAAAUGGACAGUAAAAACUUGUGGCUAAAGAUGAAAAAUUGGAUGUUAAGGUUGGGAACCAACGGUGCAGUUUAACCCAUUUGCAAAUAGGCAAACAAUCAAUGAACCCCAAAUGGUGCCAAAUAGUGAUAGUGAUAGUGAUAGUGAUAGUGAUGGUCUAAUUGCAUCUAGGCAUUUGUGUCCAACAUAAAAAAGAAAAGAAAAUUAUUAUCUCAACAGUUGCAUAAAUUUUGAGUAGCACCUAGUUAAGAAUACUUUUAGAAGCACUAAUGUGCUUCUAAGUUUUUAAUAGCACUAAGUCAUUAGUGCUAUUAAGUUUUCAGCCUUUGGGUGAAGAGAUGUACGAUUAAUAUGAUAGUGAUCUUCUAGGAUUGAGUGGGUGGUUGGUUGAAUAGUAUGAUCUAACGGGUGAAAAUGAUUAAAGAUGUUGAUUUAACUGUAGAGAACUUGAUAGCACCAACUGCUGGGUGCUAUCGAUAACAUUUCAGCCAGACUCUCUCUCUAUAUAUAUUAUAAUAAAUAACUAAAAAAAGUAAUUUUUACUGGUUCUAAAUUUAGUUUAAUGUAAACUUGGUCGGUGAAAAAAAUAGGCGGACAUGUAACCUUGUAAAAAAGAAUGCCAAACAUAAAGAUACAUGACAAAUCUACUUUCUCCAUCAAAUCCCUCCCUCCACUCCACCCAAACCAAGUGUCCUCUAUCCUCUCUACACUCUACACUACACAUUCAAACGCCAAAUUUUUUUUUUAAAAAUUAAUAUUACAUAAAAAUUAAUAAAAAUAAUAAAAAGAUUCUUGGGCUCCAAACAAUUUAUCUUUUCAAAAAAAAAAAAACAAAAAACAAAAAUAAAACCGUCCCCGGGUUUCCCCCCCACGCACACGCGCUCCGCUCCGAUGGCCGCGCUCUCCUGCGCCUGCGGCGGCGCGCGGCCGCCGCUCCCUCUCCCUAGCCGUCCGUACGCCGCGGUGCGGCGGUCGCCGCCGCCGGCGAGCGUGCCGUGGGCCGGCCGUCGCCAGCGCGCGGCGGCGAGAGCGCCGGCGGGCGGCGGCGCGGAUGAGCGGACUCCGAGGAGGGGGUGGGCGGCGGCGGCGUGCUCGGCGUCGUCGCCGUUCCCGAGCCUCGGGAGGGUCGGGUGGCACCGCCGGGAGGGGAACGCCUCGCUCCUCUCCUUCGGCGGCGGAGGGCGCGCGGCGGCGGCGGCGGCGGCGGCGGCGGGGGAGGACGCGGCGGCGCAGGCGCUCUCGGGGCUGCUCCCCUUCGUCGUCGCCGCCACCGCCGUCGCCGCCCUCGCGAACCCCGCCACGUUCUCCUGGUACUGCUGCUGCUUCUGGGUCUUUCUAGAAGAAUCCUAUCUUUUUUAAUUGUUUCUAAUCUCCUUUUGGGAAUAUAUUAUUUAUUGCCUAUGUUUUUAGUCAUCUUCAGUAUACAGCGUUUGUCACCUAUAAAAGAUUUUGAGACUCAAAACUAGAAGCUCUCAUUUAAUUAAUGCUUUGAAUAUGUGGAGGAAGCGCUUUUCAAACUAUGCCUUGUAGAAGACUUAGUUUCUGGUAAUGCAUAGGCUAAAAGAAUUGCUUUUGAUACUUUGGAAGACUCCAAAUAAACAUUUAAAAGUGCUUUCAAUCUUUUCUCCUUCAAUACUAUAAAAUUGUGCUGCUAACAUUAACUGAAGAAGCAUGUAACCACAUGGGUGACACUACACUUUUAUAGCACUGAAGGAGGGAAAAUUGGAAACACUUUUAAUUUUUUUUGGCCUACAAAACACAAAAGCGGUGCUUUUAGCCACUGCAUCACCAAUAUAGACUUAAAUCAGAAUUUUCAGUAGCAAGGACAUGUUUGUAGAGCAUUUAGCUCUGAGAAAAAUCUGGAGCUUGUGAUGUACAGCUGAGUAUAUUGGGUUGGUGCUUUACUGCUUAGACAACACUCCUAGACUAAGUGGAGUUUUUUGUAUUACUAUUUACUAAUUGGGAAUUAAGGAUUGUCGGUAUUGUAAGUAGAGAUCAAAGCUAGGAGUGAAGAAGUGAAAUUUUUGGUCAACAAAGUUGAGAAAUUUAUGGAAAAAAAAACAAGGGUUUGUGAUUGCAUGGUAAGAUAUUUGGCAAGGCCAAAGAGUGUAUAGGGAGUUGAGUUGAAUCAGUAAUGUGGUUCAUGAACAAAAUUUUUGAAAUAUCUUAUCCUGUGUGAUGGAAGUUACUUAAUCAGAUUUGUAAGUUGUAAGUUGAGUUUUGGGCGUUUCCACCAAGAAAAUGAGGUGAAAACGACUGUAGUUAGUUAUGUGGAGAGAUCACAACUAGGAUCAAUCGAGUCAACUACCGAUCAAAAUCGAAUAAUUUUAGGAGAUAAUAGUGGUUUGUGACUUGAGAGGUGGAGAUUAGAAAAUGCAGAGAUUCUUUUGGAUGUUGAAUCAGGAGUAGGUGCCGGAAGAAGUAUAAUAUAACUGAUGCUUUUUUGGCUACUGAUAGAUAUCAUGGAACCAGCUUGUUCUGUACAAAGAGAUCAUUACACGGAGUUCGGCUUUGAAAUCACACACAUUGUUUUGAUCCGGGACUUGAUAUUGAUUGCUUAAGACUAUAUAUCAUGGAAUAUUACAAAAGUGUGGGUAAGUGGAGUCUGCGAGAUUAGUAGUUUUAGAUUAGGUUAAGUUUUAUGGGUAGAGAAACCAUAGAUCAAGUUUGGACCUACGCAGUUUAAGUUUUAUGAGUAGAGAAAUCAUAGACUGAGUUCGAAGUUACAUAGAACAUCUCUUCAUUCAUGUAACCAUAAUUUGAUUGUGGUUACAUGCUGAAUUCUUUUACUAGAACCGGAGGUAACUAAAAUGCUAUUGUUCAUGUAGAAAAACCUGACUUAUGAUAUGUUCUCCAGAUAAUUUGUGUUCUUUGAUGGACUUGAACAAAAGAAAUUUGUAUCUGAAGUCUAGGAAGUUCAGGAAAUAAUGUUGAACCAAGUGUCUGGUAUCUUGAAAGAGUGGUGAAUUAAGAUUCGUAUGGAAUCCGUGUAACAUUAUUAGACACCUUAAUGAUAUUCAAAUGUUUUCUGUCUGUUUGAUUGGAAAGUCAAUUAUUCGGAGGUCUUUGUGCUUAUGCACAAAGUAUAUCUGCUUGGAAAUGACCAAAGGAAAGCUUGAAGUAGUUUUAAAAUUCUUGUUCCUAUGUCCUUAGCUAUCGAACCCAUAAAAUUUAUUGUUUGCAAGGUAAACAUCAAGGCAUCAUUCUAUACAUGAAUGUGUAAUAUUGUCCCCCCCCCCCCUUGUUUAUAGUUUUAUUAUUGGAAUUACACCGAGUCUUUUACAUUGAAUCAAUGCCUUGACUUGCGAAACUACUCUUUUGUACUUCUUGCUAGGGUUUCAAAAGAGUAUUAUGCCCCUGCCCUGGGAGGAAUCAUGCUUUCUAUAGGAAUCAAACUAUCUGUUGAUGAUUUUGCCCUUGCUUUCAAGAGGUUCUUCCUUCUACUUUGAUUUAAAUAAUUGUUAAUAAAUCUUGGCUAAACUACAAUUUAUUAGUUUAUGGCUAUUUGUGGUGCAGACCUUUGCCGCUCUCUGUUGGGUUUCUCGCACAAUACAUGCUUAAGCCACUUUUGGGCUUUCUGAUAGCAAAAGCUUUUAGGAUUCCGCCUACGUUCUAUGCUGGUUUCGUUCUUACCUGUUGUGUUGCGGGUGCACAGCUCUCAAGCUAUGCUAGUUUCUUGAGCAAAGGGGACGUGGCCUUGAGUAUUUUAUUAACCAGCUGCUCAACGAUAUCUUCGGUCAUUGUUACACCUCUACUUACGGGGCUUCUAAUUGGCUCUGUGGUUCCGGUUGAUGGAGUUGCUAUGUCCAAGUCAAUUUUGCAGGUAAAUUGGGUACUUCUUGAUUACGCGAACUAAAGCUAUUACUUAUCCAUCUUUUUUGUUGUUUAAGCAUUACAGUUCUUCAAUUAUAGGCGCUGAAAUGUGUUAACGUUUCUUUAUACUCCUUAUUGUCUUGUGAUAGCUGUCCGUGCAUUUUACCCUGUUUAAACCUUAAUCAGGAAAAUUUAGUGACAAUUUGAAAUUUAAUCUGCUUUAUUCUUCGACAUGGCUUGCCGCUUGGUGACAAAUUGAACAUGGACUCAUCACCAAGGUAGAUGUUCAACCUUCUUUGCCGUGAAUAGGAAAGCAGAUUUAGAGCAUUCCCUCUCUUGUUCGGAUUUUAUUUUUUCUGCUAAACACCAUGAUAAGACUGAAAUUAUUUGACAGAAUAUACUCUGACACAAUUUGACUUUGAUUCUGGAAUACUAUCUCCUUUUUAUCCUCUCCAGGUCGCCAGUUCACUCAAAAUCUUUUUACAAUUUCAAAGCACCUAAACAAAAUGUGGUAUUGCUAAUAGCUUGUAACAAACUUUCUCCACCGUCUGAAAAUUUUGCUCAUUUUACAUUGUAAAUAAGUAAUAAACAAUAAUCUAUGAUGAGCUAAAGACUUUACUAGGCAACAAACUUCAUAUAUAUUUGUUAAAUUUGUUGUGUCAGAUUAUCAUUAAUUUUAUUUAGUAAUUAUAACUGUUCUGAUCAGAUAAUAGCUAAAUCUAAACUAUUAUGAAUAUUUUUACUUGUUAUUGUAUGAUAAAUUUUACGAAAGUUUGAUUUCUGAAUUGUACUUUUCAUGGCUUUAUAGGUAGUUCUAGUUCCAAUAUCGCUGGGGCUUCUCCUCAACACUUACGCAAAAGCUGUGGUGAAUGUCGUGCAGCCCAUAAUGCCGUUUGUUGCUAUGUUUUGCACUUCGCUGUGCAUCGGAAGCCCUCUUGCAAUUAACCGUAGUAAAAUCCUUUCUUCGGAGGGCUUCCUACUGCUCGUCCCCAUAUUGACUUUCCACAUUGUCGCUUUCAUGUUGGGUUACUGGUUUUCCAAGUUGCCAUUCUUGAGGUAAUUCUCUUUUCUUUAGUUAUCUACUAAUCAAGCUAGAAAGUGUUACUAUUUUCUCAUGAAUAUUUAAAAUUUUUCGUAUUCUGCAACUAUGAUCAUAAAAGCGUAAUGGAACUUGAAACAGCGAAACUACAAACGUAAAAGUCUUUAUGAACAUCCGAGGAGAUAUCAUGUGCUUAUUUGCCCUUUAUUUGAAAAGUGUUUCAUUUUCCUGUUGAUAACUGCAUAUUAUUCUAUGUCAGCAUACUUUUUCUCCAUUACAAUGGCCAUAUUAAUGUAAUGUUCUCAACUAACUAGUUGUUCUCCACUAGUUCCUUUGUUCAUUUAUUUUCUUUGCUGCUAAUUUGCUAUUCAGGAUCGCAUCCCUUCACUCCAACAUAAAAUUCAUAGUGUUCGCGACAUUUUCUAUUUCUGGCGAAACAUUUUCUUGUUAACAUUAACAAAUGAAUUGUUUGUGUGUCGUGGCUAAUCUUUUCAUGUUUUCUUCUUUCUUUUUUGCCCUUCUCAGGCAAGAUGAGCCGGUGUGUCGGACCAUUUCGCUCUGCACGGGGAUGCAGAGCUCGACCCUAGCAGGCCUCCUUGCCACACAGUUCCUCGGCAGCAGCCACGCCGUACCCGCUGCCUGCUCUGUCGUCGUCAUGGCCAUAAUGGGUUUAUGCCUCGCCUCUUUCUGGGGCAGUGGUUCGCGCAUCAGAGACUUUCCAGUUCUCUCAUUUCGUCAAACUUAAAGACGGCCUUAUAACAUGCUAUAGAUAUUCUACAGUAGAAGUGGGUGGAAAAAAAUAUGUUGUAAGACCUGCUCUCACUGUACAGCAGAAGCUGGGGGUGUUAGUAGGAUAUUGAAGUCGAUAUCGUCACAGUUUUGAAUUCGAGAGAGAAGAGCCAUGUAGGUUCAGCAUUCGCACCUCGACAAGGUACGUGUUCUGUAUAUACUUGUUAUUGUUUAGGUUAAAAUAAAAGAGGUGCUUUACAUCUAGCGCGAGUUCCUUCCAUAUUCUUUGAAUACCUGUCAUUCUUAGUCUACUUCAGCAAAGUAUAUGCUAAACUUAGCAAGUUAGUCUGUGUUCUUUUGGUCUGAUAUACUCAAGAGCCCAGCUAAGAGAGUCGAACCUAAGAAAAGGCUAAGCGGUUUUUCGGUUGCAUGUAGUUGCAUUUGCACUAUUUCCCUAUGUAUGAAGAUCUAGAUUUGGCGCUUGCUUCAGUGUACUUGAAUCCAAUUGGGGCUGCACGAGGAGGCUCGAUUGCAAAUAAUUUGGAACUGCAUCUAAAUUGGUCACAGAUCCAACUAUUGCAGGUAGAGAGUAGUGUUGUACGUGACACAAGUUUAAUUUAGAUACUAAGCGCGAUUAGUAUGCAACACGAGUAAUAUUACGUUUGCUAAAUGCGACUAGCACGUGACCACUAGGCCAGCUAGAAAUUAGGGGGCGUAAACUUGUAAUGAUUCGAUCCACUAACAAUAAUAAACUCAUUGGAUUCAAACCACCAGCCCAAAAUGCUUAAACCUAAUUAUUAUUAUUAGAUGUGAGGCUAUUCGGGCGUUACAAACUCCCUCUAUUUAAAUCCUGACGUUCUCAUCAGGUCUAAAUCAGAUCACAGAUGCAAAUCAGAAUUAUCAGGCUAUGAGAUUCUAGAGAUGGCACCUACAAAAUCUGUUGGUGUAACACUUUGCCACUUAGCUCUUACACUUUCGACUAGUAUUCGACUCUGAUAUCAAUUAUAACGACCCGACCCGCUAACAAUAAUAACUUGUUGGGCCCAUACUACCGGCCAAAAUACUUAAGUCCAGUUAUUAUUAUUAGCGUGUAGGCUUCAUAUAUUUUAAUGAGAAUUAUUUUUUCAUCCGAUAUGGGACUGUUGGGGCGUUACAUAACUAAUCCCCGAUAUCCUAUUAAUAGACAAGCUCUUUUCUGAGGGAAUAUUUUCUCAGAAAGAAGAAAAUGUAAGUGGCAUUAAGGACUUUUCGAUUUUGCAACAGCAGUUGUAGAGCGUUUAGGAUGAAACUCUGCUAGAAGUUAUUCUCCAAAAUAUAGCAUCAUGAUUAGAAGAUAAAAUAUGGCGGAAUUUAUUAUCAUAGGAUGGAAAAAGCUAGAACUCUCCAAAAAUAGAUGAAUUUUGAAUCAGUCACAUUACAGUAAAAAUAUAAAGAAUUCGGGAAGAAAAUAACUAGCACAAAAAUCGAAUGCUGAAAUCUAUGAGAAAAUAAUGAAAAAAAUUCUAGAAAUUUAAAAACUAUCAAGAUACCUCCAAACAACUCUACUCUAUGAAGUAAGAUGAGGAGUACGUCUCCCCUACUUUCGAAAGUACAUAAGCCUUCGUGCUUAUAAGUUAUUUUCGAUAAUGGAAUAGCCAAUUCGACGACAGCUUCAUUAGGCAUGAUCUACGAUUUUAGAACUAUUUGAUAACCAAAUUUCAUAAUUUUUUGACAUCAUUUACUAAAUGAUCAAAGGAUCUCAAAAAUAACUAUUAUAAUGGCUGAUGUGGCACAUUUGCAAGUUCCAUGGUGUAGAACAAUUGAAAUUAUGUGAAACUUUAAUAAAAAUUUCUAUUUAAUAUCAAGAGCGAGAUGGAUAUUUUUGAUUUAAAAUUUAAGUCUUUUAUCACCAUUUUUUAUAAAAUUUUUAAUUCCGACCGUUCAUUUUGAGGCCACUCGUUCACUAGACAAAUAAAGUCAAAAGCUCAUAAAAAUUAGGUUUCUAGAGAGUUUCUACACUGUAGAUCAUCUCUAAUGGAAUCAGAUGUCCUAUAAUCGAAAACAACUUACAAAUACGGAUGCCUCGGUACUUUCGAAAGCAUCGGAGCCUAGCUCAUAAGAUAGUCUUAUUAGUUCACUAAUAGUGGUAUACACUAGAGAAAAACAAAACUAUGACAAAAAGUGAAACUGUUAGUGUAGAUUGUAAUAAUGAAUGUGACAAAAUAACUUAAAGAAUAAAAUUAAAAUUAAUUGAAUAGUUAUGUCUCUUUGGUACAUUAGUUAUUCUUAUGAAAAAGAUAUCUUUUCAUCUAACGCAAAGAUAUGUAUCUCGUUACGAAGAGCACGCUUCGUCACAAAGAGAUAAACCCUUUGUGAAAGAAUGUCUUUUCAUUUGUGAAGAGAUAUGUCUUUUCAUUAUUCGUGGAAGAAUGUGUCCUUUUGUGAAAAAUAUAACUUUAAAAAUUAUAUAUCUUCAUCGUAACCAUUUAUCUCCUAAAAAUAGGGGGUGUUUGCAGGCUUCAAGGGCGAUAUAAUUAAUUAUUUCUUCUUCCUAAUUUUCAUACUGAUUCUUAAGAGAGAAGUUUUUGAGAAGAAGUCCUCAAAAAUGCUGUUAGCAAUCUUUCAGCGAUUUUGAUGUAUCCUGGAGGUGAUUUGCUGGCAACUCGACAGCAUACAUUCAAGUGGGGGCAGAUAUCACUUUAAAGAAAGUGAACUUACAUACCUUGAGACCAUAAUUUAUUUGAUUUCCAUUCAUAUUCCCUAACAAUUUUAAGGUGAUAUUUUAAUGGGGACAAACACUAAGAUGACUUUCAAUAUGAUAAAUCAAGACUAUAUGAAACUGAACUAAUUCAAUGGGACCAACUUCACUAGAUUGAAAGAUAAGAUGGUGUUCUUACUUACUGCAUUGAAGACAACCUAUAUCCUCGUCCCCAAUUUGCCAAAUUUUCUACAGUUGCCACUAUAGAUACGAGUGAAGUGAAGGCGGGCGGCACGUAAGAAACGCAAAGAGGAUGAACUAUCAUGCAAAGGACAUAUUCUCAAUAUUUUUUCAGAUAAUUUAUAUGACUUAUUUGUAUUGUUCCAAUCACCAAGAGAUAUAUGGAAUCUCCAAAAGCAAGAUAUAAUAUUGAGAAGCAAGGCACAAAUAAGUUUUUAAUUAUGAAGUAUUUUGAAUUUAUUACGGUAGAAAACUUAUAUGUAAUGCAACAAAUACAUGAGUUAUAAAUUUUAGUUUCUAAGCUUAAAGAGUUAAAGAUUUCUCUUCUAGAAUCUUUUCAAAUGGGGGCUAUUAUUGAAAAAUUGCCUCGUAAUUAGAAUGAUUAUAGAAAGAAACUUUUACACACUACAGAAGAUUUUACUUUAGAGCAAAUUCAAAAACACUUGAGAAUUGAGGAGGAAACUCAGAACUGCUACCAGAAAAAUUAUGUUCAACAUAACUUUAAAGUGAAUCAAGUAGAUGAAAAUACGAAUCAAAAGUUUUUUAUAAAAAAAAGAGAAAAGAGAAAAUUUUCUGAAUCAAAUAACUCCAAUAAAAUAAAAAAAGAUAGGAUUUAUUAUCACUGUGGGAAAAAGGAUCAUUAUAAAAGAGAGUGUAGAUACAUAAAGAAAUUUAAGAAGGAAAACCCUAAUAAGGCCGACACGAUUGAACAACAAACUAUCAAAUUUAUUGCAAUGAUUUUUGACAUGCAUAUAAGCAUGGUUACCGAACUUCACAUGGUAGCAACAAAUAAGUCGCUGGAUUGGUGGUAUGAUUUAGGUGCUACUAUUCAUGUCUGCAACAACAAAUCUCAAUUUAAAGUUUAUGAAAAGGCAACAGAUAGUCAAGAAAUGUUGAUGGGAAAUUAUAGUGCCUCAAAAGUUCUAGAAAAGGCCAGCGUUGAGCUUUUCUUCACUUCUGAAAAGAAACUCUUACUUAUCAAUGUAUGUCAUGUCUUCGUGAUAGGCACGGUUUGAUUCGACUACAUUGCCAUCUUUGUGAUAGGUAUUGCUUGAACCAUUCGCCAUCUUCGUGAUAGGCACGGUUCGACUCGAUCAAUUCGCCGUCUUCGUGAUAGACACUAUUCGAACCAUAUGCCAUCUUCGUGAUAGGCACGGUUCGAUUCAAUCGCAUUGUCAUUUUCGUGAUAGGCAUAUAUUUGAUCAAAUUGUCAUCUUCGUGAUAGGUGUAACUCAAAAAUCAAACCUCAUGUUUGGGACGGAUUGUCUAAGCGAUAGUGUAAGACAAAACGGUUUAUAAAUUUGGCCCACACCGAACCAUAUUAAUUCAAAUCAAACCCGACAUUAAAAAAAAAAAAAAAAGGAAAAAGAACGGUUUGGGAUUAAUUACUUUAAUUGAGCCCAAUCUAUAAUUUACUUAUGGGCUUAAUAAACAAAAUUUCAUAUGCAGUCCACCAAUAAAACUAAAUCCAAUUCAGCCCAAAACCUGAAUCCAGCCCAUAUGCAAGUGCACGGGCCCUGAAUCCAGCCCGUAUGCAAAUGCAGGCCCAGUCUACUCACGGGCCCUGAAUCCAAUCCGUAUCAUAGUUAGUUAAUUUGGAUUCGGCCAAAAUUCGAUACUUAUAAUUCGGAUAAAAUUCGUCUUCUAAUUUUUAAAUUCGUUGAAAAAUACGGCUAAAAAACGGAUUCAUCAAUUAUUCGGAUACGUGAUUUAUAUGGAUAUUAUACGUUUACCAAUUAAAAAUUCGGGAUAAAAAAUUCGGCUAUUAAAUUAAAUUUUUUUUCUCUAGAUUUAUGCUAUUAGCAUAAAUAUUCAUAUCUUUUAAAAAUAUAAGAAUAAAUAGCUACAAAAUUAAGCUAAUUAAGUAAAAUUUUUUUUUUNUUUUUUUUUUUUUUUUUUUUUUUUUUCUGUAUUUUACUGUUUUGGGCCAGCCGGCCCGCGAGUGCAUGCGGGAGCGUGUGGGAGCGCAGGCAGGCGCGGGCAGGCGCGGGCGGUGCGGGUGCGACCCGUUUUUUUUGGCCGAAUAAUUCGGCUCGCCGUAUAAUACGCGAUCACGUAUUUUUAGUCAAAAAAUCCCCUUUUUUUCCGAAUUUUUGGAAAAAAUACGAAUUCGGCCGUUUAAUUCGUUUUUGCAAAAAUUCACGAAUAAUUCGCGAAUUAACUAACAUAGAUUCGUAUACAAUACAGCUCCGGUCUACUCACAGGCUAUGGCAGUCAAAACACUUCAGAUACCUCUAAUGACUUCAACUAUCUGCUAAGCAACUCCAAUUAUAUAAACAAGGCUAAUCAGAAAACUAAACUAGGCAACUUAGUUGACUCCAUGCUCCCGCAUCAGGGUACGUAUUUGCAUGACUUAGUUUGUUCCCUGCCCCUGUAACACUGACGUAACAUCGCAACAUGAACUUCUCUAGAACAGUAUGUGACAACAAUCUAUUGAUCAUGUUUCUCAUUACAAGAAAAAAAAAAGAAAAAAAAGAAGUGAUUGAUCCGAUUACACACAUACAAUAACAACAAUAGAAAUCUUAAAUCUCUUUUUAAUUUAUUAUUAACUGUUUGUUUUCUCCGUAAAACAUGUAUAUUCUUGUUUAUCAAACAGCUACUCAUGCUAUAGUUAGCAUGAAUCAGGAAGCACACUCACUCGCCUUUCCAUGAAGAAAGAGGAGGGGUCUCCGAAUCCCUCCAUGUUUUCCAAAUGCUAGGAUACCGAUCACCCUCGACAAGAUUAGCCAAGGCAUAGGAUUCGAGCUCCGCCAUCUCCUCUAGAGUGAGCUUAAUCGACAGAGCUUUGAUAUUCUGGUUGAAGUUCUCGAUCUUGGUGGUGCCCGGUAUAGGGCAUACGUCGCUCCCCUGAUGGUGAACCCAGGCGAGCGCCAGCUGCGACGGGGUGCAUCCUUUCCUUGUAGCCAUUGCAUUGACACGCUCGAAUAUGACUUUAUUCUUCUCGACAUUUUCAGGAUGAAAUCUAGGCAUUCCCUGUAAGAAGCAAGUUAGUCUACGGCUUAUUCAUAACGUACACUCGAGUAUAUAAUUUUAGAAGCAAAGUUCCAAACUACACCACAAGAUGGCAUAUGUCACUAGUUUCAAUUAAAGUUCAUGAUGAGUUAUUGAAUUUGUAGAUGGAGAAAAGUUAUUGCAUGGGUCAGGUGUACAAACCCCGAGCAUCUCGCUUACGUUAGUUUGCGUCUAAGUUAUUGCUACAAGGAUCAACUAGUCUUAAUUAGAUUAGAUCAGCAACAAUUCCAACCAAUUGGGAUAGAUAUAUAUAUAUAUAUAUUUGUUGGGCUGAUUUACUAUAGCUGUGUCAGCCCCUAAAUCUCACUACAAUUUCAGAAUAGUUCUGGAUCUAACUAUAAUCAGAAUGUAAUUUUCUCAUCACAGCUCUGAUUUUGGUGUGUAAGGUGCCAAAGGCGCGGAUUGGCAUGUCGAGUUUGAUUAUUGUGGUCCAGUGAACAACAGAAGCCUCUAAGAAUAAUAAAAUCAGAAGAAAGAGUAUUUUCUAAAAAUAUUUAUGAGAAUUGUAUUGUUGCUGCUCUUUCUAGGAUACGAUAAGUGACCCGGACACAGUACAAGAACCAUAAUCGUGAGCAAUCUAUAGUGAGAUUAGUUGUUCGUGUUGUUGACUAAGAUAUGCAAUCCCGUUAAUACUGUGAUACUUGACUUUAUGUUGAGCAUGCUUUGCUAUCGUCUAUACCACCUAAAUAAAUUUCUCGAGACAGAAUAUCUGUCUAGAUUUUCUUGAGCAGAAUGCAUGAGUAUGGUAAUCCCACUGAUCACACUUUGCUACCUGAUGGUGGACGCUUCUGAAAAUCUUCUAGCUUAUGUUUGAAAUCGACCAGACAAAGGCACAGACAAGUCCAGUAAAUCUAAAGAAUAAAAGAACUCCGCUCAGUUUUAGGCAAUAUUAGAUGUCUCCUGAAGUUCUGAUACGAUAAAUGCCAUCACUACAUUAUACGAUAUCUUGCUAUGAAUGUAUAAUUCAGUUUGACAUGCCGUAUUCCCAUUCCGUUGUGAUUACUACUCUUUCUGUAGCCGUACUUUGUUUCCUGCAGCUGUUAUAUAAAAUUUCCAAUUCUUUACAGCUACUUUGUUUCAGUUUAGUGUGCACCUAUUGAUUAGUCCUCAUGAAUACUCAUACCUAUUAUUACAUCAUUAUAGAUAUAUAAUGGAUAGUUGCAUAAAUAGUAUGUACUUUUUGACUUGAAAGUUUGAAAUUUGCCAUUGGAUAUGGCAAUGCAACUUGAAAAUUAAUUAAGUUUAAGUAGGUUAACUUCACUUAGCAAAUUAGAAGUAUAUUCAUACAGCUUUUGUAUUUUGUACGCCAUACACGUAUCAGGAACUAGCCUUCUGUGCAAGAGGCAGAUCUGUGUCAACCCCUGAGUGUGCUUCUAGGUUGUUGGACUUGACAACAUCAGUCACUACUUAACAGACAUGUUUUAAUGCACGCUUGUCAAUAUUCGCAGAAAUCAAUGGAGUACGCAGCAUUUUUCACACAUAGAAAUAUAUAAGAUAUAAGAAAUAUGAUCCAAUUUCAGUAAGAAAUAUGCACCUUUCGAGCGUCUUGCUCUGAUAGAUUUUCAACCAUAUUCGACCCACCAGAAAGAAAGCCUCUACCGAGUGGACUGUAUGCAACUAUUCCAAUUCCGAGUUCUCUGAAGAUAAGGUAAGAAAUGAUACUCAGCGUAUUCUUAUUUUUAUGUAUGAAUAGAAAAACUAGCGAAUAAGACUCACCGACAAGUAGGAAUUAUUUCUUCUUCCGCAUCUCUUGUCCAUAGAGACCACUCUAGUUGCACAGCAGUUAUCGGAUGAACUGCAUGCGCCCUUCGGAUUGUCGAAGCCGAUGCCUCAGAUAAUCCGACAUAUUUUAUUUUUCCUUCUUCAACUAGCUUUUUGAGUUCUCCCAUCUGGUAAUAGAGAUAAAGUCACUUUUAGGCGAUUUCAAACAGAAGUCGUGACGCCUAGAAAAAUUAAUAAACGACCAAGAUUUAUGACACAAUGCACAACCAUAUUGUAGGGGGGAUGAUGAAGAUCUUACAAAUUGAUCAAAAAGUCUAAAAAGUGAAUGAUCACAAUGAACUUAAAUGUCUUGUAGAUAUAACCCCCUUUUUCUUUCUAACAAUACAAUAUUUGAAGCGUAAAAGUGUCAUUACAAAUAGGGUUGCCGAUAUUGCGAUAUUGCAACUGAGUUCCUAAAAUUUUUCACUUUCUCAUAUAACUUUUUUCCCUGACCAUGUAAAACAACUUUCCUGUUUCGGUGUACUUGAAACAUGUUAAAAGGUUUGUUUCAUAUGACAAGUCCGAGUAUUCUUAGAUUUUUCCCUUUGUUAUAUCUCGAAAUAAGUUUGUCUCUGAUCUCAAGCUUCUGUAUGAUAUCCUUGAUUACUUACCAACUUCAUUUAACUAUAGAUAGUCCAAUAGAUAGCUAAGUAGCCCAAUUUACAGCGAAAAACUCUGUUAUCCAUUCAUUUUAGACUACUAUCACACUCCUGGUAAUCAAAAAAGUUACACAAACCAAAGGCACGAGACUUGCGCCAUGCUCGCUAACUUCUUAAAAAACUUGUGCAUUCUGGCUGGAUGUUUUAUACUGAUGGGCACGGUUCACAAGAUAAGAGAUAGAUUUCUGAGAUUGGAAACUUAUCAAGUGUUGCCAUAUCGGCCCGGAAGUAACAAUGGUAUUUGAUAACGAGCAAGCAAAGAGUUUCUCAAUAUAUAAAACAUCAGCUAUUCGGGGGCGAAAGGUUUUAUAAAGAUUUCCUUGGAGAAAACUGUUUUACAAGGAGAGUUUUGGAUGCCCUGUAUCUAUGCCCAUCAUCUCAUCGCAAUCCCCAAUCACAACUCUACAAAACGGCGAAUCUUCAAAAUAGCUUUGGUCUGGAACUAAGGGUCUAUUCGGCAUUGGGGAGCAUAUAAGAAAAAACCAAAGUUGGGGCAAAAGCAUACUGGUAUAUGGGAUUGUCGAAAAUCUAGCUUAACCGAUUCAUUGCAAUAUACAGAAGAUUAUGUUAUAUACGUAAAUAAACAGACUAUUCUACUAUCGUGCUUUCUUAGCCCAUGUAAUGCAAUCUCUCUGCAAUCUGAAACUGUUUGUAUAGUUCAAAGAGGGGAGAGGAUCAAACUCACCGUGACCUCGAUGGGCACGCGAGUGUCGAUCCGAUGUUGGUAGUAGAGGUCAAUGCAGUCGACGCUGAGCCGCUUCAGGCUCGCCUCACACGCGGCACGCACGUACGCCGGGUCGCCACAGAAGUUUAUCUCACCGUCGCUGACUCGGAUGCCAAACUUGGUCGCCAGCUGCACCUUCUGCCUCACUCCAUCUUGCAAGGCCUGUGAAGCAUUUCAUCAAACACUUCAUAGGCAUCCCCAAAAAAAAAAAAAAACAAACCCAAUUUUCUUGGAGGUACAAUUGCAUUACAGGGCAAUUCCAAACGGUCUAUUGGCUAUUAUUUGUUGAUUAUUUCAAUUUUACUUACUGAAAAUAAUUAGAACUAAUGAAUUUGAUUAAACCACCAACAAAUUCAAUAAACUCUGCAUUACAGCAGACCCUGUAACUUACUCUUUUUUCAAAUAACACCUUUUAACUUCUAUUCUAAUAGUUUUGUUUCAGUUUUAUUUACCAAAGAAGGUGUUGGAAGCGUGAUUUGUUCUGAUACCAUUUGUUGGAACCGGUAUUUUUGCUGAUACCGAUUAUAUAACUCAAGAUCUAAAAUAGAACAAAAUAAUAUGAAGAAAAGAUAUUGAAAGAGGAAGAAGAAGAUAACUAAAACUUUAUUAAUAAAAAGUAAUUAAUUACAUUCUGGGAAACACUCAUGCAGCUAUAUCUACUAUCAGGGACGGAGCUAUGUUGGGGCUAAGGGGGGGGGGCAUGGCCCCCCCCCUAAUUUUUAUAAUUUGCAUAAUAGUCCUUUUUAUAUAAAAAUUUAAAAAAUAUUUUUUAUUUAAUUUUAAAAGUAUGACGAGCAACCUAUUUUUUUUUAAAAAAAUUUGGCACUAAUAUAAUGCUCUCUCAACUCUGAGUUUAUUUAUUUAUUUUUUAUUUAUUACCUUCAUAACUUCUAAUUAUUUUAGAUAUUUUUUUACUUCUAAUUAUUUUAGAUACGUUUUUUAUUUAAUUAAAUUAAAGGUUAUAUUAAAGUUAAUAGCUAUGUCAACUAAUAGUCAUUUAUUGUCACAAUUAUAUUUAGUAAAAAUUAAUAAAUUAAAUCAUUCACUGAAUUACUAUUAGAUUUAGUAAAUUUCAAAAUUAUUUGAAUGAAAUAAUAUAAAUAAAAUAAUUAGAAGUUAAGUAAGUAUAAAUAAAAAAGGGUAAUGCUUUUUUACACUAAUUAUUUAGUCAAUAUAUUUUUUCAUCAAAAAUUAGACGAGGUAAAUUUUGUUUAUUUGCUAAAAUUUUAAUUUGUAUGUAUUUUUGUCCCCCCUCAUAAUCGAGUGCUAGCUUCGUUCUUGUCUACUAUGUAUAGCCAUCAAAUCAUAACAGAUAAUAAAUUCAGUUUUAUUUUGGAUAAUUACAUAUUCUGAUCACAAUCAAAGAAUAGAUUUAAAGUUAUCUCUAAAUAUAUUUGAAUUAAGUUUGGAGUAUUAUUCCAACAGAAGAACAAGAAGAUUCAAGAAGAAAGAGAAGCAUGAUUUAUGUG
rnacentral:lncRNA from 1 species